rnacentral:rRNA from 1 species
GAGUUUGAUCCUGGCUCAGAUUGAACGCUGGCGGUAUGCUUAACACAUGCAAGUCGAACGGUAACAGAACUAGCUUGCUAGUUGCUGACGAGUGGCGGACGGGUGAGUAAAGCGUAGGAAUCUACCUAGUAGUGGGGGAUAGCCCAGAGAAAUUUGGAUUAAUACCGCAUACGCCCUACGGGGGAAAGGAGGGGAUCUUCGGACCUUACACUAUUGGAUGAGCCCGCGUCGGAUUAGCUAGUUGGUGAGGUAAAGGCUCACCUAGGCAACGAUCCGUAGCUGGUCUGAGAGGAGGAUCAGCCACACUGGGACUGAGACGCGGCCCAGACUCCUACGGGAGGCAGCAAUGGGGAAUAUUGGACAAUGGGGGAAACCCUGAUCCAGCAAUGCCGCGUGAGUGAAGAAGGCUCUAGGGUUGUAAAGCACUUUAAGUUGGGAGGAAAGGGUGAUGGUUAAUAUCCAUUAUCUGUGACGUUACCAACAGAAUAAGCACCGGCUAACUCCGUGCCAGCAGCCGCGGUAAUACGGAGGGUGCAAGCGUUAAUCGGAAUUACUGGGCGUAAAGCGCGCGUAGGUGGUUGUGUAAGUGGAAUGUGAAAGCCCUGGGCUCAACCUGGGAACUGCAUACCAAACUGCGCAACUAGAGUACGAUAGAGGGGGGUAGAAUUUCAGGUGUAGCGGUGAAAUGCGUAGAGAUCUGAAGGAAUACCGGUGGCGAAGGCGGCCCCCUCCCUGGUAGUCCACGCCGUAAACGAUGUCUACUAGCCGUUGGAAUCCUUAGAGGUUUUAGUGGCGCAGCUAACGCAAUAAGUAGACCGCCUGGGGAGUACGGCCGCAAGGCUAAAACUCAAAUGAAUUGACGGGGGCCCGCACAAGCGGUGGAGCAUGUGGUUUAAUUCGACGCAACGCGAAGAACCUUACCUACUCUUGACAUCCUCGGAACUUAGCAGAGAUGCUUUGGUGCCUUCGGGAACCGAGUGACAGGUGCUGCAUGGCUGUCGUCAGCUCGUGUCGUGAGAUGUUGGGUUAAGUCCCGUAACGAGCGCAACCCUUGUCCUUAUUUGCCAGCACGUAAUGGUGGGAACUCUAAGGAGACUGCCGGUGACAAACCGGAGGAAGGUGGGGACGACGUCAAGUCAUCAUGGCCCUUACGGCCAGGGCUACACACGUGCUACAAUGGCGCGUACAGAGGGCUGCCAACUCGCGAGAGUGAGCCAAUCCCUUAAAACGCGUCGUAGUCCGGAUCGGAGUCUGCAACUCGACUCCGUGAAGUCGGAAUCGCUAGUAAUCGCGAAUCAGAAUGUCGCGGUGAAUACGUUCCCGGGCCUUGUACACACCGCACGUCACACCAUGGGAGUGGGUUGCACCAGAAGUAGCUAGUCUAACCUUCGGGAGGACGGUUACCACGGUGUGAUUCAUGACUGGGGUGAAGUCGUAACAAGGUAGCCCUAGGGGAACCUGGGGCUGGAUCACCUCCUUA